rnacentral:piRNA from 1 species
UAGAAAUAUAGCAGGCAAAAUGAGUAGUAGU